UGGGAAUUUUAUUGUUUUGCAGGUAAAAAAACAAAUAUUGGAAAUAAGGGAUUUUUGGGACUCCUUAUAAAUAAAAUGGGAUUUUGGGGCAGUCCUUUAAAAGUGUUUUGCCAAAGUCUCAGUGUUCUCUACCCCAUGCCUCUCUGGGCUGGAUCAGUAACGAGUCUCUGAGAACAUGAUUGCACUGUGUCUGCUGAUGCUGUUUAUCUCAGCGAACCUGGUCUCUUGUGCUCCUCCUCAUGUCAGCACUCCUCGAUGCUGCACUCGUCAUUAUCGCCAGAAGAUUCCAGUGCGGAGGGUUGUGUCAUACUGGACCACUAGCAGCAGCUGCCACAUCUACGCUUAUGUGUUUAAAACAAAAGCCGGGAAGGAGAGAUGUGUCAACCCAGAUCUGCCUUGGGUAACGAGGAUUGUUAAAAAACUGAACGAACGGAUGCAGGCUUCAAUCAACAAACACCGGCUGCUCUAAUGAUUGGAGAGUGUUUUUUCUGUCCAUCUAUGUAAUAGGGGAGCACAUUUAAUGCCUGGGAAUACCGAUGCUACCUUGCACGUGGCAUGUAAAUAAGUGUAGGCUAAUUUUAAAUUGGAACAUGUCAAGAUGUACCUCGCCCAGUGUUGGGAAGUAUACUGAAUACAUGUAACUGGAUUACAUAUUUAAAAUACAAAAUAUGAUAUCUGCAUUGAAAUAUGGUGGUAUUCAGAUCAGAAUACUGUAACGAAUUUAAGGGAAUGCAUUCUAAAUCGUUGUAACAUGUGAGCCACGUUUUGGUUUUUUUUCAAACUCAAAUAUUCAUCUUUUCUUUUAACCAUCAUGUAGCCAAACCAUGUAUCACUCGGAUGACUCCUUUCUCUUCAUCUUUGUUUACUGAUAGUCCAAAUGAACAAUCUUUGAGGGAAUGUAUGUAAAUGUUACAGGGCAGUGGCAGCGUAGCUGGUUAAGGAGCUGGGCUAGCACACUGUAGUGUGAGAAGUUCUAGGUUCAAUUCCUGUCUUCCACCUCUGUGUCUUGAUUGAACAAGGCACUGAGACCCAAGUUGCUCCACGGGCAAUGUACCUGUCAUAAUAUAUACACAUGACAUAUUAUGUAAGUCACUUUGUAUGAAUGUAAAUGUUAUCUGUAGUAGAAUAUUUUUUUUAAAGUAACCUACCCAACACUGCGCUGAACUAUCCAAUUUAAAUGUAAGAUAAAACUGUGAAAAUGUAUAUACUUAUUAAGUAAAAUUAACACUUAUUUAAAAAAAUAAAAUAAAAUCACACUUGUUGUCAUUACCGCAGCAAGAUGUCAUUAGCAGCAA